CGCACGAGAGCGCUAUCGGUUCGACCUGCCCGUCCGAUAGACGACGGGUGUACUAGUAAUGUUCAUAGGAAGAGAAGACACCGCACUCAUCACUGGCUUCAACUUGAAACAGCUUAUAUUACUCGAUCUGACUAUCGUGGUUUACCACAUAAACAAUAUAGACUAUGUCACAGUGCGCACAAAGAUGGCAGUACCAUGAAGAAGGGCUAUCCCAUAAAGAAAUGUACUUCCGCAGACAAGGCUGUGCUGACCCAACACGCUAAAUAAGAACGUAAAUGACGCUUGACCUUUGCUGGUGCAUCAGGGACCCUAUCCCCCGUUUGGCUGAACUGGUGGGCGAAUCACUAACUUAUGCUUCUGCUAGUGCCUCUGAUGAAAUCGAUGAUAGGUAAGUGGUCAGGCGAAUCCUGGUCUUUCUCUUUGAAGGUGUAAUUAACAUUGUUUUGCUUAUUUGCGUUGGUAGACAGUAUCCGGAACCUGAUCUCCUCGUUAUUCCCCACACCCGAUGACCCCAUAAAUACUGCAGCAAGUUCCAAGUCAUGAUGAACUGGUAGAGGCCUUUCGCAAUAGCCCUGCAAAUUCGUGGAACGCUUCGAGCGCUUAUCGUUUCUAUGAGAUUUCGCCUCUGAUUGACGACAGCCAAUAAAGACCAUAUCAAAGAUAAGAAAGAAGAAAAAUCCUGUUCUCGAAAUAAGAAGUAGUUUGACAAGUAUAAAAUCGGCCACCAAGGACCUUGAUGCUACUAUACUGACAUCGAACAGCUAGCUAUUUAGUUAAAUCUAAAAAAAAAUUUAAAGAGAGCGUCGCGCGAAACGCUUCCAGUUUGGUUUCUCAAAUGUAGUCGUACCAGAGACAACCUGAGCCAGUUCGCGCAGAAUAAACGUUAUUCGAUUUUUGGUCGCAAUAGAAAAUACUUUAUCAGUUCUAUUUUAUUAGGUAGCUUUAUAUGUGUAGGUUUGCCAACUUUAAGAAGUAUGUGUCAUCAUAUUUCAAAACUUACCUAGAUCAGGUCCUUUUUGAAAAUAUUAACUUAUUUUUCGUAGGUAUAUAUAAUGUUUUAUCAUACAUAAUUAAACUUGUUGUUUCUUUCAAGGAAACAGCGAAAAUACAUGCAGUCCACAAACAAAUGCCAAGGUUUGACGCAAAAUACCCCUAUACAGUCCUAGCGAUGAGACACUGCCAUGCUGUGUAAUGUAUGGAGAGGUUAUAUCUCUCCAGAAACGCAAUACGACUCCAAGACGCAUACGAGCCGGAGAACAAACAAUGAGGAAAUCUCACUCUAAUAACAGCGCCCGUAUCAAUUUGUCUUUGAACUCGAGAAGUAUGUGAACGCAAGAAAAGAGUUUGUCCUUCUAAAAUAUCAUAGCGGACGUACAUUAUCUAAAUCAUACAGAAUGUCACGCUACUCUUAUUGGAUACCUAAGGAAGUAGAGUGCGGUUGUUUACCUUAGAGUUACAUUACUUCAUUAGAGGAACUACAUCGGAUAGCAUUAACUCACACUAGUCUACUUGACUGUGAAAUACAGAACUUCUGUUAUGAUGGGAACAAGGUGUAAUGUCUUGUUUAUGUUCUUGAAAGAUUUAAUUUUACUUAUCAAAGCAACGUUUUUUCAGAAGAAUUUCCAAAUGGUCUUUCGUUUGGGACUAACAUAUUUUUUUGUUUUAGCGAUUAAACUAAGGUUUCGUGGCUCCGUAUACUGUGUAGUGGUCAUAACACGAUCGGGGGGAUAAUUGACCCUGGAUAAACUGUUAACUUCUAAAGCGCAAAUAAAUAUAAAGAAGUUUUCGAACACCGCUUAUUUGCUUCCAACCACCGCUGAAACUUAUUCAACUCGGCCGGUUCAUCCUACACAAAGCAGACUCGUUAUUAUAUCAGGAGCAAAGCUAGAAGUGAGUGAGGUUAACUAAAAUUUGUGCUAUUAUUUCACAUGUAAAAAGUAGAAUCAGCAUUGUCUCAAUAUAUAAAUACAUAUACAUACAUACAUAAAAUAAAUAAAUAUACAUAAAUAUAGAUACAUGUAUAUAUAGAAACACCUCAUUACCAAUUGACCGUGAAAUAUUUUAACAUCCGCUCCGCAGCAAAUAGAGCUAGCUUCGAUCAAACGUAGUUUUCUCCUCUACGAGCUGGCCCUAUGUCGUUGAUAAUACCCUCAUUUCGGACUUCUAAGCCCACACGAUGCUUCGAUUUGAAAACACAAAAAUAUCAAGCCAACACAACUGUACGCAGGUCUGGUUUUUCUUAUAGGUAGGAAACUAACGAAAUAAACAACGAAUAUAAGGAUGGAUCUGAAUAGGUCUGCUUGCCUCAAGCUGUCAGUCAAUCCUUGGGGCUUCUCAGAUGUAAUAGAAAAAAACGUACCCACGUUUCUAUGCGCCCAUUACGUUGAUGAUGGUUUUUUGCACGCUCAUCAACGCAUGUUCCUUUUGCCUGGGAAUACGAUCGCCUACACCCAACGGUCAAUAUCAGUCGAGUGACUGGUAUGACACCGCUUUAACAAUUCGCAACGUUGUCUCCCAACACGAAAAUACCAUAAUGUCCACUAACUUUUGACUUAAUUUCUUUUUUUUUGUCUUGUUCCUGAUAACAAUGGGCUGUACAAUUUAAUUUAGUACAUUGCGCUCUACGCUACCGUAUUUUUACAUCAAUGCCACGAGACUAUUAUUGAUACGGAGGUAGUAUAACCCUUAGCAGCUUCUUAUCGAUUUGUCGAACACCUUCGGCUACGUUUGAAACAAGACAGGAUUUAUGUUAUUGUGUGAACGUGAUGCUACGUUAUGGGAAGGCGUAUCCAAGGGUGAUACCAACUCUUCUUCCAAGAUUGCCUGUAGAUAUUGUCACUGCAAAGAACUCGUCUCGGCAGGGCAAACUCACGCGAAGAGCAUAUUUUAUAGUUAACUCCUUACGGAAACCAACAAAUUUAGGGGAAAGAGCUUAUACAGCCUAAUUUAAUGCG
rnacentral:lncRNA from 1 species